rnacentral:rRNA from 1 species
UACGGGGGGGGCAAGCGUUGUUCGGAAUUACUGGGCGUAAAGGGCUCGUAGGCGGCCAACUAAGUCGGAUGUGAAAUCCCCAGGCUUAACCUGGGAACUGCAUUCGAUACUGCUCGACUUGAAGGCAGGAGAGGGUAGUGGAAUUCCCGGUGUAGUGGUGAAAUGCGUAGAUAUCGGGAGGAACACCAGUGGCGAAGGCGACUACCUGGCCUGUUCUUGACGCUGAGGCGCGAAAGCUGGGGGAGCAAACGGG